rnacentral:tRNA from 2 species
GCAGGAUUAGCUCAGUAGAGUAGAGCACUUCCCUUACAAGGAAGGGGUCGUAGGUUCAAGUCCUACAUCCUGUA